AUCCGGCUGAGAGAGAAAGGAUUCUGGGAGAUAGUCAGGCAUGGGAGAUUCACCCCAGACACAGAAUAAGACAGCGCAUGCAACUGAGGACCAGGUAUGACUUAGAAUAGAAUAAAUAGGUAAUUAAGUUAUGAGCUAGCUGGGAACAAGCAAAGCUUUUAGCCUAGACAGUUAUUCAUGAAGUACUAAGUCUCAGAGUCAUAAUUUCUGGAAACAAAGUGAAUGGGUGGGAAAACAUAAGGUUUCGGAUGGAUUUAGCUACGCUUUCCUCCCUUUAUUUAAAAUGUUAUUAUUAUUGCUGUGUGAGCACGCGCGCGUGUGUUUGUGUGUGUGUGUGUGUGUGUGUGUGUGUGUGUGUAUGUAUAUACAUACCAUGGUGUCCCUGUGGAGGUCAGAGGGCAGCUUUUGAGGGUCACUUUUCUCUCUCCACCUUGUUGAAGCAGAGGCUCUGAUUUCUGCUGCUUGGUGUACUCUGAAGUAGCUGUACUCUGAGGGAGUUGUACUCUGAGGUAGCUGGCUCACCAGCUUCCAGAAGCUUCUCCUCUCUCUGCCUCCCAUCCCACUACAUAAGUACUAAAAUUAUAGAUUCCUGUCCCCCAAAGCAGCCGUGUGGGUUCCUAAGAGUGAACUCCAGUCAUCAGGCUUGCAUGGUCGGUGCUUUUGCUUGCUGAGCCUUGUCCUCAAAGCCCCUCUUUCUUUCUUUAAUGGAGGCGUACCAUGUUGCCCCUGCUAGUCUCAAACUCCUGGGCCCAAGCAAUGUUCCUGCCUCAGCUGCCUGAGUUGCAGGAACCAAAGGCCAAACGUCCAUUCUUCAGAAAGUGUCUGUCCUCUGACCACCUUCUCUCAUGGAACGCACUUCUGCUCCCCGGUAGUCUCGGUCCACUUACCUUACCAUAUCCACUUCCUGACCCUCCACACUCCCUGUGCAUUUCAUUUCUAACCCUCUGGAAGCACAAAGUAGAAAGACACUGAGCGGGCGAGGGAGCCUAAAGUGAACCCAGCUGUGUGGCCCUGGAGCUGGCAACUUCUCUGAGCCUCUGUUUUCUUCCACUGUAAAAUGGAGAGUCUCUUCGGUCUUGUGAGGACACAGCAUUGGCUUCUAGGCAACUGGAACUCAGUCUGGCAUGUGGUAGGUCUGUGGUGCUAGAAGCAUGUGUAUCUAAGUGCUGGGCCCACUCAAGGAUCAAGACACCACACACACACAUGCACACACACACACACACACACACGCAUACACACACACAGAGGCACACACGCUCACUCACACACACACAGGCACACACAGAUAUAUUCACCAAGGCACGAAUACAGGCUCUCACACACACUGUACUGACAUAGCCUCAGUCUGCUAUGUUCCCCACAUGUUCCCCACGUGUUCCCCACAUGUUCCCCACAUGUUCUCCA
rnacentral:lncRNA from 1 species